rnacentral:rRNA from 1 species
AGAUUGAACGCUGGCGGCAUGCCUAACACAUGCAAGUCGAACGGGAGUAGCAAUACUCUAGUGGCGGACGGGUGAGGAAUACGUAGGAAUUUGCCCUUAAGUGGGGGAUAACCCGGGGAAACCCGGAUUAAUACCGCAUGACCUCGAAAGAGCAAAGUGGGGGAUCGCAAGACCUCACGCUUUUGGAGAAGCCUACGUCGGAUUAGCUAGUUGGUGAGGUAAUGGCUCACCAAGGCGACGAUCCGUAACUGGUCUGAGAGGAUGAUCAGUCACACCGGAACUGAGACACGGUCCGGACUCCUACGGGAGGCAGCAGUGGGAAUAUGGACAAUGGGCGCAAGCCUGAUCCAGCAAUGCCGCGUGUGUGAAGAAGGCCUUGGGUAGUAAGCUACGUUUAAGGUUAGGAAAGAAAAACGUUCGACUACUAACGACUAGU